UACGUAGGCAGCAAACGUUGUUCGGAGUUACUGGGCGUAAAGAGUAUGUAGGUGGUUUGCUAAGUUUGGUGUGAAAUCUCCCGGCUUAACUGGGAGGGUGCGCCGAAUACUGGUGAACUUGAGUGUGGGAGAGGGAAGCGGAAUUUCUGGUGUAGCGGUGAAAUGCGUAGAUAUCAGAAGGAACACCGGUGGUGUAGACGGCUUCCUGGACCACAACUGACACUGAGAUACGAAAGCGUGGGGAGCAAACAGG
rnacentral:rRNA from 1 species